rnacentral:miRNA from 1 species
UUGUUCGAUAAAACUGUUGUG